rnacentral:tRNA from 3 species
GGUCGAGUCGUAUAACGGUUAGUACAGUCGCUUCACAUGUUUGCAAGAAUAUGCGGAGCGCGCGACAGACCCGGGUUCGACUCCCGGCUCGACUA